GCUCCUCCUCCAGUUCUCCAGUUGAAGCGGUAGAGCAGAGGGCGCUGUGCAGAGCAACAAGAACAUGCCUUGACUUGUACUGGCAUGUCAGGAGGGAGUUGAGGCUUGUGGUCAGCACCAGUAACUGUUUCUCAUCUAACUGACCGGUGAAGACGAAAACAGCAUACUAUCGACUCUAUGGAUAUUGGGACAGACUGAACUGACAAACAUCCAACACCCAGUCUCUGCACUGGCUGUUCCCUCUCUGGAAGAUCCCUGACCUCACCACGGCUGAUUCUUCUGAUGACACGACUCCUGAGACAAAAGAAACGUAUCCAGAUGUCCUGGAGACGAUGAGAGACCUUGAGUCAGCUAGAUUAGCAGAAAGGCGACCUCUCACCUACCGUCAUCUCUUGGAAACUGAAAGCAGAACAAAGGCUUAUUCGGUAAGGGGAAAUCUACCUCUGUCCCUGGCUGUCAUAGAAGAACUCUGGACAUUCCAUGAGCAGAGUAUUAAAGUGUCCAGAGCUCACCUGCAGAAGACGGGAGAGUCAUAUACGAGGAGCCUUUACAGUCACCGACAGAUGAGGGCGAGAGAUGCUGAAGUGAUGGAAGGAGAGCGAGCGAGUGAGGGAUGAGGGGCGCUGCUGUGAGUGGUUCUUUGGCAGUGUCUUAGCUGGUUGUUGUGUGGAGUGAGAACGAAGCAAUCAGCAAGUAUACUGCCGCAGAAACUCAUCACCUUAGGAAGCCCAUCCAUCCAACCCCGCUCAUGCACUUACAGCCUGGAGAGAAACAAGAAAAGA